rnacentral:rRNA from 1 species
CCUACGGGUGGCUGCAGUCAAGAACAUUUGGCAAUGGGCGAAAGCCUGACCAUGCGACGCCGCGUGAUGGACGAAGUCCUUCGGGACGUAAACAUCUUUUAUGCGUGAAGAAGUAAUUGACAUUAGCGCAUGAAUAAGGGGCUCCUAACUCUGUGCCAGCAGGAGCGGUAAUACAGAGGCCCCAAGCAUUACCCGGAAUCACUGGGCGUAAAGGGUGUGUAGGCGGUUGUAUUAGUCUUUCGUAAAAGCACUGGGGCUUAACCCCGGUAAUGCGGGAGAAACGGUACAACUAAGAGGACGCGAGAGGUAUGGGGAACUCAUGGUGUAGGGGUGAAAUCCGUUGAUAUCAUGGGGAACACCAAAUGCGAAGGCACCAUACUGGCGCGCUCCUGACGCUGAAACACGAAAGCGUGGGAAUCGAACGGGAUUAGAUACCCUAGUAGUC